UUCAGAUCUAAUAACGGUCGAGGAAGUGGAGUCUUCCUUUGAUGAGGAGUUGCUGUUAGAGCCAGAAGGUGAGGGUUCUACACCCAGUAAAAGCUGGGCUGAGCAGAUGGAUGAGAGGGAUAGGGUGUGGACCGCGGCAGCCCAGCGCAUCAUAGCUGAGCGGUCCGGUAAAGUGCCCACUGCAUGCUCACCAGAUGUUGAGUUAUUAGAUACCAAUAACAACAUUACCGAGCAAAAGUCAGUUGACUUAUUUACGCAAAGGGGGCCUCUAGGUAUACAGACACCGACAUAAAUGCCUUUCGUCCGAUCUCUCUUUCUGCGCGACGUCUGCAGUAUACCACAACUAAAAUUAAUUCAUCUCCAUUAAAUGUCAAUAAACCCCUUUUUAUAAUCAUAGAAUAAUAACCCACAAUUGGUUAUGCCUUGGUGCAAAUAGGCUUGCUUACAAAAUGCAAAGACAUAAUAAACAAAAAAAAACAGUGUCAGUGAAUGGCUAAUUUUCACAACUAUGAAACUAUACGCUUUAACCAUAAAGCCAUAAUUAAAUGAAAUCAAUGGUCAUUGUGACUGCCUUUAAUUUGAUUAUGCAUAUAAGCCUACAAAU